CAGGGCGAUCUGCUUAACCCUUGGAAAUGCCCAAUAGAAGAAAAAAGAAAAGGUCCUUGUCCUCAAGGCACUUACAAGUUCAAGGAGGAGACAAGGAGGCACAGAUAAAAUGCACCAUUUAGAAAAACGUCAAAUCGGAGCAACGGAUGAGAAAAUGCACGACUCUGCAACUGGAUAACUAGAGUUUGGGAUUGGAAAUUAGGAGAAAUAGGUUCUCAUCCUGACUCCAACCGUUUCCCGCUGGAUGACCUUGGUUCGAUCCAGGCCAGCCUUUCUUAACUGCUGCAAAGACAUCUCGGUGAGGAGGCACCGCAACAUAUAAAUGGAAGUGGCAUCAAUUUGCAAAAUAAAUUAGAUUUUUUUUUAAUC